rnacentral:sRNA from 1 species
GGCUCUGAAAUACCAUCGCGUGCCUC